rnacentral:tRNA from 1 species
GGGUCUGUAGCUCAAUUGGAUAGAGCACCGGUCUUCGGAACCGACGGUUGGUGGUUCGAGUCCACCCAGGCCCAGUC